GAAUUUAAAAGAUUUUGACAAAAUAUAGUUCAAUUCCAAUAAGUGCUUUAACAUUUUAAGGUGUUUCUAUUUCGUUGCUGUUCUAGGGGCUCCAUUUUAUACCUUCUAAUCCGAUUUGCGUGCAUUGAACUACUUUUGAGGUGUGUGUGCGUUUUGAAAUUGAGAGUGUGUAUGUGUGUCUUAAGUUUUAAUAACUAUAUUAUUCUUUUAAUUGUUAAAUUAUGACUGUAAUUACCGUAAAGUAACAAAAUAAAUAAAAAAUCACCCCAACAUAACUACAUACACCACUUAAACGUUUAUGGGAUUACAAAAGCAAUUAACCACAGUUUUAAUGUCUGGUGAACAUCAAACAAACGCAACUAUUUAACAAUUUAUUUGGCUGAAAAAACCUCAAUAAACCAUAUAAAACAAGUGGCAAAAGAGGCUGUUACUUGAAAAAGAAAAUACAACCAUAAAAAAUUACAAAAAAAAACAAAACGUGACAAAUAACAAUAUAACGAUAAUAACAACAUUCCAGGAAGAUAUUUAAUUAAAUAACAAAAAAAUUUUGAUUUAAAAAACAGCAGUAUUGUCAUGUUAAUUAGAUAUAUAUAAAAAAAGAAGAUAUAACAACAAACAACAAUAAAAACUAUUCGCUUUUAAUUAAUUAAAAACAAUAAAUCAUUAAGUCAUUGAUUUCAUUAACAAAAUCAAUAGCACUUGUCAAUUGAUGAAGAGUUUCAAGACAAAGAAAUUAUAACAACAAAAUAGCUAAGAAAAUGUGAAUGAAACAGUUAGUUUGCAAAGAAAAGAGCGAUAGAGAGAGAGAGCGAGAGUGUGAGGAGGAAAAGAAAGCUAGAAAAACUGGUUGUUUACAUUUUUCACAGUCUCUCAAAUAAACAAACACACAUGCAUAACAAAAAGAGAUUCUUUCUUUCUUCUUGUUAUUGUUGAUGUUGUUUUUGCUGUUAACUUGAGCGCAGAGUAAAAGUAUUUGGUAUGUGCGUUUAAAUGUUUGUAUGUUGAUUGUUGUUUAAACAUCCAGUAACCUUUUGCCGGCCAUUAAGCCUGUUAAAUACUGCAUUUACAUUUUCAUUUCAUUUAAAAAUACAGGAAGCUUUUUUCAACAACAAUUUUUACUUUUAUUUGUAACAAGAAACAAAGAAAAAAACAAACAA